CACAAAGGCAAACAGAGACACGUGACUUGAUAGGUAAAAGUAUGAUGAGAGCAAGGCAGCAGGGAGGAUGGGUGUUGGGGCAGGGAAUCCACAUGGAUGGAACAGUAAUUGCAUUCAGAAAGAUACACAAGCUCAGCUCUAAACCGGAAAAAACAAAUCUCCCUAAUCAAAUUCUAAUUCUAUUACUGCUGCACCAAAGCAACAGACAAUUUUGCUUACUUUCUUUUUUUGCAUACCAAACAAACAAAUAACCCUACUGAGAAAUAUGUUAAAAUGUUUUUCUAUAUAAAAUUAAAGUUUCAGAUAAAUGAACAAUAGAUAGGUACAUGUAUAUGAACAAUAAAUGCAAAUUAAGAAUGUCUUGUUAUGCAUUUGGAUCACCCUUAGUAAGAUCUAUAUUUAACUGCAGAUAUGAUUACAUCUAUCAUUAUAGUGUUAAAAAGCAGUGUAAAGAAGUGCAAUCUAAAGGUGAGCUUACACCUACUCCAACUGACAUUAAACACCCACAAUGGAGUCAUGAUGCCUGAGCAAGAACUAUGCAAGACCUACAGUAUGAUAAGGAAUAAAAACCAUAAGACAGCUGUAAAUGCAGCUUCAAAAACAUUCAAGAAAAUCCUGUCCCACAAAAUUUUAAUAGUUGUGUUAAUGUGUUAAAAAUGUGAGGAACACAAACACCAACGGCAAAUCACAUCAACACACAAUUACAUAUAUUUGUUAACUUUAAUAAGUUGGUGGAAACACAUUGUGGUAUAAAAACAACUGGAACAAUAAGAGGACAAGAGAACACAUAAAACAACAUAAAAUACAUGUGACAAUGGAACAUAAAAUAGCAAAACGAAAUGAAAAUUAUGUAAACAAAUUAAGUUAAAAAUGGCAUUAAAUUAACAUGUUUAGUAUGUUUUGGUUAUGGCUCACAAAUGAAAACAUGACAAUGUUACAUGAGUGAGUGUGACCAGUGUUACAUGAGGACAAGAUUGCUGCAAUUGAUAAACUACAACAGAUAUUUGGCACUAACAAUACCAAGCAUAUCGCCUCAGUCAUAGACACAACAAUCAACAAAUUAUCAAACAAAAAAACCUAAACAAAAUGACACGAGACUCCAGUCUGUGCACAUGGAGGGAAAUUUAUGCUUUAUGCAGUGGAGUUCUACAAUCCCUUUAGCUAUAGAGUCAUAUGUCAUAUAUAAGUUAUGAAGCACAUUAUGACAAAGCAUCAUGAAAUGCACAGUAGGGGACAUUAAAUAUAUAAUUCCAGUUUCAGAGUCUGACUGCUGUAUCAAGUCCGUAAUAAGGGGAAAUUAGAAAUUUGUCAGAUUCAAUGAGCAGCAAUUUUACAAGAGAGUAGUGGAGUUGAGCAGAGUGCCCCAUAUUUACACAUUUAUUCCCCCUUUUUACUCCAUCUGCUACUGAUGAGUAAUUGACAGUUCCUUGAAGGGAUUAUAAUUGAGGAAAAGCUGAAUAUGUGCUUUCAAAAAGCAAAAAAGGGAAAAGAAAUCUAGAGAGAAGAGCUGCAGCUACUCAAAAACCCAGCCAAGAAGGAAGAAAGAGCAGUUAAUGUGAAAGAAAUUAGGUUACCAUGGAAACUUUGAGAAUACAAAGACGACUUGUUAGCUUGAGGAACAGGGUUAGCAAGUUCAUGCCACAACACUUGACCAAAUGUGCCGUAGCUGUGAGAGGAAUGAAAAAGAAUGAAGAGCUGAAUUAAGGAAAGCUGGAUGAAGAAUCUCAUUAAUACGAGAAAAGAGUGCAGGACUUCCAGAAGGUGGCGUCGGAAACCCUCCAGUUGAGAAAGGCCCAGCCUAUGAGAGACAAGAGGGGAAGGGUCUCCCGUAGAUGGGAUGAUGCACCAAAAGCCAGCGAGAGUGCUUCAUAUGCUGAGAGCAGAAAUGCAAUCCUGAGGUCAACAAAGUGGACACUCCCCCGUCCUCAGCUGCACCUGAUGAUUCUGUCCGUGAUGACCACAAACAGAGUCUGUGACAAAGCACAGCUUUGGCCGAGUCCAACACCUACUGAGGACACACUUGACUUACUGCUGAGGAUGUGGACACAGCUCUCAGCACUCCAUAAACGGCUGGGUGAAGUGUUAUCAAAACAUAAAUGAUGGUCAAAGCCACUAAAUAAAGCCACUAAAUGAACAGACUAGCUCCCAGUUUGUGAGUGUGCUGCACUGCACACCAGCCCUGUGCUAAAUGAUGUUGUCUGACAAGAGUACCGUCUGGUUUGGAAGCAUAACACUGUAUCCAGGGCUGUAGGACUCUUUGUGCAGAAUAGCCUAAAAAAGGCAUAUCACAAUUUACCUCAACAGUGUAUUAUACAAAAAAUGAUACACGCACAACAACAAAGAAAAGGAAAUACAAAUGAACCGUUGCCUGAUGCUGUUAAACUGCUCCUCAACAAACAUCCUUUGCUUUAUUCAGGAAGUAAAACCCCAGACACCUCCGAGUG